CUUUAGCCUUGAUAGAAACGGUUACCCCACAGCAGGAGCAAGAGUAGGUCAGGCUUAGGUAGGGAGCGCGCCGGAGCGAAGAGUAUGAGUGGAUAGCAAGAAUAAGC
rnacentral:misc_RNA from 1 species